ACCGGGCGAUCUAUCCAUGAGCAGGUUGAAGGUUAGGUAACACUGACUGGAGGACCGAACCCACUCCCGUUGAAAAGGUAGGGGAUGACUUGUGGAUCGGAGUGAAAGGCUAAUCAAGCUCGGAGAUAGCUGGUUCUCCUCGAAAGCUAUUUAGGUAGCGCCUCAUGUAUCACUCUGGGGGGUAGAGCACUGUUUCGGCUAGGGGGUCAUCCCGACUUACCAAACCGAUGCAAACUCCGAAUACCCAGAAGUGCCGAGCAUGGGAGACACACGGCGGGUGCUAACGUCCGUCGUGAAAAGGGAAACAACCCAGACCGCCAGCUAAGGUCCCAAAGUUGUGGUUAAGUGGUAAACGAUGUGGGAAGGCUUAGACAGCUAGGAGGUUGGCUUAGAAGCAGCCAUCCUUUAAAGAAAGCGUAAUAGCUCACUAGUCGAGUCGGCCUGCGCGGAAGAUGUAACGGGGCUCAAACCACACACCGAAGCUGCGGGUGUCACGUAAGUGACGCGGUAGAGGAGCGUUCUGUAAGCCUGUGAAGGUGAGUUGAGAAGCUUGCUGGAGGUAUCAGAAGUGCGAAUGCUGACAUGAGUAACGACAAUGGGUGUGAAAAACACCCACGCCGAAAGACCAAGGGUUCCUGCGCAACGUUAAUCGACGCAGGGUUAGUCGGUUCCUAAGGCGAGGCUGAAAAGCGUAGUCGAUGGGAAACAGGUUAAUAUUCCUGUACUUCUGGUUACUGCGAUGGAGGGACGGAGAAGGCUAGGCCAGCUUGGCGUUGGUUGUCCAAGUUUAAGGUGGUAGGCUGAAAUCUUAGGUAAAUCCGGGGUUUCAAGGCCGAGAGCUGAUGACGAGUCGUCUUUUAGAUGACGAAGUGGUUGAUGCCAUGCUUCCAAGAAAAGCUUCUAAGCUUCAGGUAACCAGGAACCGUACCCCAAACCGACACAGGUGGUCGGGUAGAGAAUACCAAGGCGCUUGAGAGAACUCGGGUGAAGGAACUAGGCAAAAUGGCACCGUAACUUCGGGAGAAGGUGCGCCGGCUAGGGUGAAGGAUUUACUCCGUAAGCUCUGGCUGGUCGAAGAUACCAGGCCGCUGCGACUGUUUAUUAAAAACACAGCACUCUGCAAACACGAAAGUGGACGUAUAGGGUGUGACGCCUGCCCGGUGCCGGAAGGUUAAUUGAUGGGGUUAGCGCAAGCGAAGCUCUUGAUCGAAGCCCCGGUAAACGGCGGCCGUAACUAUAACGGUCCUAAGGUAGCGAAAUUCCUUGUCGGGUAAGUUCCGAUCUGCACGAAUGGCGUAACGAUGGCGGCGCUGUCUCCACCCGAGACUCAGUGAAAUUGAAAUCGCUGUGAAGAUGCAGUGUAUCCGCGGCUAGACGGAAAGACCCCGUGAACCUUUACUGUAGCUUUGCACUGGACUUUGAGCCUGCUUGUGUAGGAUAGGUGGGAGGCUUUGAAGCGUGGACGCCAGUUCGCGUGGAGCCAUCCUUGAAAUACCACCCUGGCAUGCUUGAGGUUCUAACUCUGGUCCGUGAUCCGGAUCGAGGACAGUGUAUGGUGGGCAGUUUGACUGGGGCGGUCUCCUCCUAAAGAGUAACGGAGGAGUACGAAGGUGCGCUCAGACCGGUCGGAAAUCGGUCGCAGAGUAUAAAGGCAAAAGCGCGCUUGACUGCGAGACAGACACGUCGAGCAGGUACGAAAGUAGGUCUUAGUGAUCCGGUGGUUCUGUAUGGAAGGGCCAUCGCUCAACGGAUAAAAGGUACUCCGGGGAUAACAGGCUGAUACCGCCCAAGAGUUCAUAUCGACGGCGGUGUUUGGCACCUCGAUGUCGGCUCAUCACAUCCUGGGGCUGAAGCCGGUCCCAAGGGUAUGGCUGUUCGCCAUUUAAAGUGGUACGCGAGCUGGGUUUAGAACGUCGUGAGACAGUUCGGUCCCUAUCUGCCGUGGACGUUUGAGAUUUGAGAGGGGCUGCUCCUAGUACGAGAGGACCGGAGUGGACGAACCUCUGGUGUUCCGGUUGUCACGCCAGUGGCAUUGCCGGGUAGCUAUGUUCGGAAAAGAUAACCGCUGAAAGCAUCUAAGCGGGAAACUUGCCUCAAGAUGAGAUCUCACUGGGAACUUGAUUCCCCUGAAGGGCCGUCGAAGACUACGACGUUGAUAGGCUGGGUGUGUAAGCGUUGU
rnacentral:rRNA from 1 species